UACAGAGGUCUCAAGCGUUGUUCGGAUUCAUUGGGCGUAAAGGGUGCGUAGGCGGCGCGGUAAGUCGGGUGUGAAAUCUCGGAGCUUAACUCCGAAACUGCAUUCGAUACUGCCGUGCUUGAGGACUGGAGAGGAGACUGGAAUUUACGGUGUAGCGGUGAAAUGCUUAGAUAUGACAUAGAACACCGAUAGCGGAGGCAGCUUACUACGCGAUUAUUGACACUGAGGCACGAAAGCGUGGGGAUCAAACAGG
rnacentral:rRNA from 1 species